rfam:Brassica rapa chromosome A2, whole genome shotgun sequence.
GGCCUGUGAUGUUUGAGAUUGUCCGUACCAUCUGAGAUUUCUCGUUGAUGAGUUGUAUCCUCUAGGUUCUGAGGCUU